rnacentral:rRNA from 1 species
UACGUAGGGUGCAAGCGUUGUCCGGAAUUAUUGGGCGUAAAGAGCUCGUAGGCGGUUUGUCGCGUCGAAUGUGAAAACCCGGGGCUCAACCCCGGGCCUGCAUUCGAUACGGGCAGACUAGAGUUCGGUAGGGGAGUCUGGAAUUCCUGGUGUAGCGGUGAAAUGCGCAGAUAUCAGGAGGAACACCGGUGGCGAAGGCGGGUCUCGUGGGCCGAUACUGACGCUGAGGAGCGAAAGCGUGGGGAGCGAACAGG